rnacentral:rRNA from 1 species
CCGAACUCACCGCCGUUGAAAAGUUGGGAGAUGAGAUAGGUCUAGGGGUGAAAAGCCAAUCGAACUAGGAGAUAGCUCGUUCUCUCCGAAAUGCAUUUAGGUGCAGCCUUGGUUGAAGAUAUGCGGGGGUAGAGCACUGUAUGGCCUAGGGGGCGUAUAGCUUACCGAAGUCAAGCAAACUGCGAAUACCGUAUAUUGUUUACCGGGAGUGAGUCUACGGAUGACAAGGUCCGUGGACGAGAGGGGAACAGCCCGGACCGCCGGCUAAGGUCCCAAAUCAUGUCUAAGUGGGAAAGGAGGUGGAUAUUCACAGACAACCAGGAGGUUGGCUUAGAAGCAGCCAUACCUUGAAAGAGUGCGUAAUAGCUCACUGGUCGAGAGUAUCUGCGCCGAAGAUAUAACGGGGCUAAGACAUGAACCGAAGCCGCGGAAGCGUGGUAACACGUUUGGUAGGAGAGCGUUCUGUAGGCCGUAGAAGGUGUCCUGAAAGGGAUGCUGGAGGUAUCAGAAGUGAGAAUGCAGGAAUGAGUAGCGAGAAGGAGGGCGAGAAUCCCUCCGGCCGGAAGUCCAAGGUUUCCAGGGGAAGGUUUGUCCGCCCUGGGGGAGUCGGGACCUAAGCAUAAGCAGAGCUGCGAAGGCGAAUGGAAAACAGGUUAAUAUUCCUGUACCGCUGUGUACUGACUGAGAGAUGGAGUGACGCAGGAAGGUAUGCGGGAAGGCUGACGGAAUAGCCUUUCUAAGGGUGAAGCGUGGACAUAUAGGCAAAUCCGUAUGUUUAAACGUGAGGCCUGACGGGUAAGUGCCAUAGGGCAUAAGCCGCAGAUCCUACACUGCCGGGAAAAACUUCUAUUUAGGGAAGCAGCGCCCGUACUGUAAACCGACACAGGUGGACAGAGUGAGAAACUUAAGGCCGACAGGAUAACUCUGGCUAAGGAACUCUGCAAAAUGGCCCCGUAACUUAGGGAGAAGGGGUGCCCGUGCUACCUGAAGGGGGAGACACCCGGAGGGGAAGCGGGCCGCAGUGAAGAGUCCCAAGCAACUGUUUACCAAAAACACAGGUCUAUGCUAAGCCGGAAGGCGACGUAUAUGGGCUGACACCUGCCCAGUGCCGGAAGGUUAAGAGGAGGAUUGAGAGAUCCGAAUUGAAGCCCCGGUGAACGGCGGCCGUAACUAUAACGGUCCUAAGGUAGCGAAAUUCCUUGUCGGGUAAGUUCCGACCUGCACGAAUGGUGAAAUGAUUUGGGAGCUGUCUUGGCCGGAGACCUGGUGAAGUUGUAAUGCCGGUGAAGAUACCGGUUACCUGCAGUAGGACGGAAAGACCCCGUGGAGCUUUACUGCAGCCUGGCAUUGGGUUUCGGCAAUGUGUGUAUAGGAUAGCUGGGAGGCUAUGAAGAUAUGGCGUCAGCUGUAUUGGAGCCGCUGUUGGAAUACCAGCCACGCAUUGUUGGGAUUCUAAUCUCAUAAGAUGGGAGACAGUGCUAGGUGGGCAGUUUGACUGGGGCGGUCGCCUCCAAAAGAGUAACGGAGGCGUUCAAAGGUUCCCUCAGGCUGGAUGGAAAUCAGCCGUAGAGUGCAAACGCAAAAGGGAGCUUGACUGCGAGACUGACGGGUCGAGCAGGCACGAAAGUGGGAGUUAGUGAUCCGGCGGUUCUGAAUGGAAAGGCCGUCGCUCAACGGAUAAAAGCUACCCCGGGGAUAACAGGCUGAUACUUCCCAAGAGUCCAUAUCGACGGAAGUGUUUGGCACCUCGAUGUCGGCUCGUCUCAUCCUGGGGCUGGAGAAGGUCCCAAGGGUUGGGCUGUUCGCCCAUUAAAGAGGCACGCGAGCUGGGUUCAGAACGUCGUGAGACAGUUCGGUCCCUAUCCACUGCAGGCG